UUUUUUUUUUCCCUCAAGCGAGGGAAGCUAUAUUUGAAUGUUUCUCCAAUGGAUCCUUCAUCAGAUGAACCAGACUUUAACUGGAUAUUGAAAAUGGAAUAACAUGCCAACCAGCACAAAUAUUUUGCAGCACAUUUGAGUCAGCACUGUAUUCUUUGAUAUUGUGAUGCUGGCAUGACGUUAGCAUGGGUAGGUAGUCUGUACGAGGCCAGAAAGCACGAGGUGCUGCGACUCUCCUCGCCAGAUUCACACACACACAGUGUUUGUCGCAACAGGAAAUGCUGGACAAAUGAAAGCCAACAAGAAAACAGCCGACAGCAGGAGAUUUGAGAGCUGAGAACUGCGAUUGUCUUUCAUGUCCGGAAAAAUGGAUACUAAGAGUUUCAAGGUUGACCUGUAAACUCUAGCGGCUGCAGUGAAUGCAAAUCACCCGAACUCACUCGCACAAACCCUAAACGCUAUUCAAAUGAGACGGCACUGAAAUCACAGAGACAAAACUGUCCCAGAGCAACACAAACACAAUGUCUCUGGAGACCCGGCGUUGUCCAGUUCGCUGCUUUCUGUCCAUUCUGCAUCUGUCCCACACCUGCAACUCUGAUAACACAAAGAAAAGACAAAACCAGCCCAACAGCCUGGAGGAACGACGCACAGCUACGAGAGAUUCAUCUACUCACAUUACAGUCUCCUUUUGAAUUUUACAGUAGUUUCAUUUUUUAGAAAUUUUGCUACAUGUUAGAUUUUGUUCUUUUUAAAUAUUACUAUUUAGGUUUAAUUGUUUUAUUUUAGUUUUUUAUUUAUUUACAGUUAAUAAUUAUAGCUUCAGCUUAUAAACUUUUUCAUUUGCCAAGGCAACACAAAUGUUGUUUAGAUUUUUCUUUCUUUCUUUCUUUCUUUUACUUAUUAGUUAAUUUAUUUAACAAAACUUUUAAAUAAUUUUAGAUAAUAAUAAUAAUAAUAAUAAUAAUAAUAGAAUAUUGGCACAUAUUUAAAAUGAUUUUUCUGGCAUUAUAAAAUAAAAUACUUUCAUAUUAACAUGAUUUUAAUGCUGUCUCUUUCAUUAUUAAUUCUUUAAAUACUUUUAAUAGUUUUACUACAUAGUUUCCUUGUUUUAAUUUUUAUUUUGUAAUUUUUUUGUUUUUGUUUUAAUAGCAACUGAUUUUAAUUUAAAUUCAUCACAAAAUAUUUUACACAUACACUUUAAUUUAAUAAAAAUAAUGCUUAUAUAUUAAAAUAAUUAAUAUCAUUUUAUUAUGAAAAAAUAUCAAUGAUUUGACUAGAUUUUUACUGCAUUAACUCGUUUGAAUCUGCCUGGCAACAGUGGUUCAGUAGUUGGUUCCUCUAACUGAAAAAGGACUGUAAAUAUAGAAUCAUUUUUAAAUUAAAAUGUUAAUCAAGUGAAAAAUAUUGAGAUGUAAUUUAAUUUAUAUUGUCCAACCCUAAAUAUUACAUCUACAAACUCAUACAGAAAUAUUAAUACAGAUAUUAAACAAUUUGCCAUUACAUUACAAUUUUGCCAUUGAAGCUAAUUUGAAAAUAUGAUGGAAAUAAAUAAACUGGAGUCAGACUUUGUGAGUGAUUGGCAGCAGCAGGUCUUCUGUUAAAGAGACAGUAGCGCCACCUGAUGGAUCGACUGGAAACGCAUCUGAUCUCUUGCUGUCAGUAAAUCAGCGCUGCUCAUGUGUUCGGAAAAAUAUAUGUUUAUCUCCAAAAAUAUAACAGACAAGAUUUACUUCAAGACUAUCUGCUCUUCUCUGGCAAAACUACAAAAUAUAAAAACAGAACUAGAUUUAUAUAUUUUCUGAAAGAAAUCUGAGUGUUUUCCCAAAGAAAACUCACUGCCGCACUGCUGCAGUGCUGCGGACGGUUGCUAGGGUGUUGCUAUAUGGUUGCUAGGGUGUUCUGAAUGGUUUUUAACAUGCUGCUUUAUUAAUACUAGAGUUGCCAGUGGGAACCUUUUGGGAAUGUUAAAAAAGACAUUUUGCUUAAAACCGGAAAUAUAUACAGAAAAAGCCAAAAUGUUCAGAAAAUCUGAGACACCCAAGAACAAAAUCUGCUCUGAAAAUUGUAAGAAAUAAAUAAUAUAAUAUAUUAUAAUAACAGAAUAAAUAAAUAAAUAAAAUAAUUCAUCCUAGCACGUAUUUGAUAAUUAUUUGAUUUUUAUUAGACUUUUUCCAGAUGAAGAAUUCUCAUCUUCCCAACUAGAUUAAAAUCAUUAAAAAAUUAUUAUUUAAUAUAAUAUUAUGUAUUAAAAUCCUAAUAUUUUAAAUAUUAAAUAUAAUGAAUUUCAUUUUUUGUAAUAUAUGCGUUUAUAUUAUUAUAUUAUAAUUAAUAUAUUUAAUUAAAUAUUAAAUCAUUCUAAAGUUAAUUCUUAAUUAGAAUUUAGAUAAUACUUUAUUAACUUGUCACUGUUGCUUAAAACAGACACAAACAUAACAACCGAGCAGCACAAGUCAAACAUC